rnacentral:ncRNA from 1 species
CAAAGGCUUGGUCCUGACUUUACUGUCAGCUUUAACUGGAUUUACACAUGCAAGUCUCCGCAUCCCUGUGAGAAUGCCCUUAAUUCCCCGCCCGGGGACAAGGAGCUGGCAUCAGGCACGCCCCGCAGCCCAAGACGCCUUGUUAAGCCACACCCCCAAGGGAACUCAGCAGUGAUAAAUAUUAAGCCAUAAGUGAAAACUUGACUUAGUUAAAGUUAAAGCAGGGCCGGUAAAACUCGUGCCAGCCACCGCGGUUAUACGAGAGGCCCAAGUUGACAGAUACCGGCGUAAAGGGUGGUCAAGGGUAAAAACAACUAAAGCCGAACAUCCCCCUAGCUGUUAUACGCACUCGGAGGAAUGAAGCCCCACCACGAAAGUGGCUUUAUCUCACCUGAACCCACGAUAUCUAAGAAACAAACUGGGAUUAGAUACCCCACUAUGCUUAGCCGUAAACCUUGAUAUUAAGAUACAACUAAUAUUCGCCAGGGGACUACAAGCACCAGCUUUAAACCCAAAGGACUUGGCGGUACCUCAGACCCCCCUAGAGGAGCCUGUUCUAGAACCGAUAACCCCCGUUCAACCUCACCACCCCUUGUUUACCCCGCCUAUAUACCGCCGUCGUCAGCUUACCCUGUAAAGGCCCCAUAGUAAGCAAAAUGGGCACAGCCCAAAACGUCAGGUCGAGGUGUAGCGUAUGAGGUGGGAAGAAAUGGGCUACAUUUCCUAAAGUAGGAUACCACUAAUGAUGUUAUGAAACUUAACACCUGAAGGUGGAUUUAGCAGUAAGAAGAAACUAGAGAGUUCUUCUGAAGCCGGCUCUGAGGUGCGUACACACCGCCCGUCACUCUCCCCAAGUUCACAUUCUUCCUGUAACUAAAAAAAUAAUCGAAUAAAGGGGAGGCAAGUCGUAACAUGGUAAGUGUACUGGAAAGUGCACUUGGACUAAC